AAGAGUUGCGUAGGUGGCAAUGUAAGUUAGUAGUGAAAGCGUCCCGCUCAACGGGAUAAACAUUACUAAAACUACAUAGCUUGAGUAUGGGAGAGGUAGAUGGAAUUUCUAGUGUAGGAGUGAAAUCCGUAGAUAUUAGAAGGAACACCGAUGGCGUAGGCAGUCUACUGGCCCAUUACUGACACUAAGGCACGAAAGCGUGGGGAGCGAACGGGAUUAGAUACCCCGGUAGUCCACGCUGUAAACUAUGGAUGCUAGCUGUUAGAAGUAUCGACCCUUCUAGUAGCGAAGCUAACGCGUUAAGCAUCCCGCCUGUGGAGUACGAGCGCAAGCUUAAAACAUAAAGGAAUUGGCGGGGUCUCGCACAAGCGGUGGAGCGUGUUGUUUAAUUCGAUGGUAAACGAAGAACCUUACCCAGGUUUGACAUCCUGCGAAUUUCUCCGAAAGGAGAAAGUGCUUUUACUAGAGCGCAGUGACAGGUGUUGCAUGGCCGUCGUCAGCUCGUGUCGUGAGAUGUGUGGUUAAGUCCAUCAACGAGCGCAACCCUUAUAGUUAGUUGAAUUUCUCUAGCUAGACUGCCCCGGUAACGGGGACGAAGGAGGGGAUGAUGUCAGGUCAGUAUUACCCUUACAUCUGGGGCUACAAACACGCUACAAUGGCCGGUACAAAGGGCAGCCAACCCGCGAGGGGGAGCAAAUCCCAUCAAAGCCGGUCUCAGUUCGGAUUGCAGGCUGAAACUCGCCUGCAUGAAGCUGGAAUCGCUAGUAACGAGUAGGUCAGCUAUACUACCGUGAAUACGUUCCCGAG
rnacentral:rRNA from 1 species